AUGAAAGAAACUGACCUCACUGCUCGUUGCCGCGGUGCCGCCGCGUUCACCGCACGCACUCAUUCGGCCGUCCCGCUCGCGCACCGACACCGGGUUCCCUUGGGAACGGCGGCGACGAGGAGGUCCGGCCCUUGGCGCGACCGGCGGCCCUCCCCCACCCCCCACGCGACGGCAUCGUACGGGGAUGACUGGCAACAGGCUAAUGUCUUCUUCAGGGCAUUGGUAAUUUUUGAAUCCUUCAGGAAGUUAGACAAUUCCUUCGAAAUACAGGCUGGAAAACCUGAGCUCUGCCAAUGCAAUUUUAAUAUUCAGUUGUGCUUCUGCACUGCUGCACAUAAGCAUAUGACGCUCCUUUUCUUCUCUGUUGGGUUGAUGUGGACUGGGAAUCCAUGCAGGUUUGGAAUGUUCUGGGAGUUUUGUUCUGGUCAAUCUAAUCAAAAUAUUGCUUUCUGGGUGGAUGCUCCAAUAUAUCCAGAUUGUUGGGUCUUUGUUUGCUUCCUGGUGGAGUACCAACAUCAGUUAAUUUCCGAAUCCGACACUAAAAUUUGGGGAAUCAGUUACUCAUCCAUCAUUGGUUUGUUUCCUGCAUGA
rnacentral:rRNA from 1 species